rnacentral:rRNA from 1 species
CAACGAGCGCAACCCUUAUCUUUAGUUGCUACCAUUUAGUUGAGAACUCUAAAGAGACUGCCGGUGAUAAACCGGAGGAAGGCGGGGACGACGUCAAGUCAUCAUGGCCCUUAUGGGAUGGGCUACACACGUGCUACAAUGGGGGGUACAAAGAGCAGCUAGCUGGCGACAGUGCGCGAAUCUCAUAAAACCCUUCGUAGUCCGGAUUGGAGUCUGCAACUCGACUCCAUGAAGUCGGAAUCGCUAGUAAUCGUGAAUCAGAAUGUCACGGUGAAUACGUUCCCGGGCCUUGUACACACCGCCCGUCACACCAUGGGAGUGGGUUGCAAAAGAAGUAGGUAGUCUAACCUUCGGGAGGGCGCUUACCACUUUGUGAUUCAUGACUGGGGUGAAGUCGUAACAAGGUAACC